rnacentral:rRNA from 1 species
GAUGAACGCUAGCGGCAGGCUUAAUACAUGCAAGUCGUGGGGCAGCGCAGGUAGCAAUACUGGGCGGCGACCGGCAAACGGGUGCGGAACACGUACACAACCUUCCGAGAAGUGGGGAAUAGCCCAGAGAAAUUUGGAUUAAUACCCGUAACAUAACGAUGUGGCAUCACAUUGUUAUUAUAGCUUCGGCGCUUCUUGAUGGGUGUGCGGCUGAUUAGAUAGUUGGCGGGGUAACGGCCCACCAAGUCUACGAUCAGUAGCUGAUGUGAGAGCAUGAUCAGCCACACGGGCACUGAGACACGGGCCCGACUCCUACGGGAGGCAGCAGUAAGGAAUAUUGGUCAAUGGACGCAAGUCUGAACCAGCCAUGCCGCGUGAAGGAUUAAGGUCCUCUGGAUUGUAAACUUCUUUUAUCUGGGACGAAAAAGGCGAUUCUUCGUCACUUGACGGUACCAGAUGAAUAAGCACCGGCUAACUCCGUGCCAGCAGCCG